CGCGGUUUCUGACGUCAUCAAACGGCGCCACAACGGUGCCUGGCUGGACCCUGAAGGAGCGUAGAGUGGGGGCCGGGCUUCUCCGAGAUGAGCAGCACGGCAGCCCCAGGCCUGCAGGGCAGGGUCCGGAAAACUCUGGGAAAGGUCUUCGGGUUUGAGUCCUUCAAGACUUCCCUGCAGGAAAGUGCAACCAUGGCUGUGGUGAGAGGUGAGAAGGAUGUCUUUGUAUGCAUGCCCACAGGGGCGGGGAAAUCCUUGUGCUACCAGCUUCCUGCAGUUCUGGCAGUGGGCAUCACCAUUGUCAUUUCACCUCUGAUUGCACUGAUUCAGGACCAAGUGGACCAUUUGCUGGCUCUGAAGAUCAAAGCCUGCUCUCUGAACUCUAAGCUUUCUGCCCAGGAAAAGAAGACCAUUCUGGCUGACUUAGCAAGUGAGAAGCCUCAGAUAAAGCUUCUGUACAUCACCCCAGAGAUGGCAGCUGCCUCAUCCUUCCAGCCUACACUCAACUCCCUAGUGUCUCGGAAUCUCCUGUCCUACCUAAUAAUUGAUGAAGCUCAUUGUGUCUCCCAGUGGGGACAUGAUUUCCGACCAGACUACCUACGGCUGGGCACCUUGCGUACUCGCAUACCCAAUACACCAUGUGUUGCUUUGACUGCCACUGCUACCAAGCAAGUCCAGGAGGAUAUUGUGGCAGCACUUAAGCUAAAGCAGCCACUUGCCACCUUUAAGACUCCUUGCUUCAGAUCUAACUUGUUCUACGAUGUGCAAUUCAAAGAGCUCUUGACUGAUCCUUAUGCAAACUUGAAGGACUUCUGUCUGAAGGCACUGGAAGUGAAGAACACCACUGGGGUGUACUCUGGCUGUGGCAUUGUGUACUGCAGGAUGAGGGAUGUUUGUGACCAGCUGGCUAUUGAAUUGAGCUACCGAGGAGUGAAAGCCAAAGCGUAUCAUGCAGGGCUCAAGGCAGCUGACAGGACUUCAGUCCAGAAUGAAUGGAUGGAGGAGAAGAUCCCAGUUAUUGUUGCGACCAUCAGUUUUGGAAUGGGAGUAGACAAAGCAAAUGUCAGGUUUGUUGCUCAUUGGAACAUCGCCAAGUCAAUGGCAGGGUAUUACCAGGAGUCUGGCAGAGCUGGGCGAGAUGGGAAGCCCUCCUGCUGCCGCCUCUAUUACUCUAGGAAUGACCGGGAUCAAGUUAGCUUCCUGAUUAAGAAGGAGCUGUCUAAAAUCCAGGAAAAAAAAGGCACCUUAAAAGAAUCUGACAAGGCUGCAAUGACAGCUUUUGAUGCCAUUGUAAGCUUCUGCGAGGAGCUGGGGUGUCGUCACGCUGCCAUAGCAAAGUACUUUGGUGAUGUCACUCCACCUUGCAAUAAGUGCUGUGAUUACUGCAGGAACCCAGAGGCAGUGAAAAGGCAGCUGGAGGCUCUGGAGCGCUGCAGCAACAACUGGAGCAAAACUUGCAUUGGACCCACAGGAUCCUCCUGGGACAGCUACGACCCAGAGCUGUAUGAAGGCGGAAGGAGAGGCUGCAGAGGUUUUAGCAGCUAUGAUGAAGAAAGCAGCGGGAAUGGGGAUGAAGCCAAUGAAGAGAGUCGGAAACGGGAAUGGGACAAUUUCUACAAGAAACAGAUGAGCCUGCGCAGGGGCAAAGAACCAGAAAAAGAAGAUUUUGUUCCUCCAAGUGCAGACUGCCCCUUGAAGGAUGCCUCCAGCAGAAGAAUCUCUAAGCUUACAGUGAAGGGACGGGAGCACUGCUUGAAGAUACUGGAGGAAGCUUUGAGUGCCAACCAAGAGGUUCCAACAGCAGCAGGAAAAUGGUCAGACCCUCAUGCCUGUGCGGUGGAGCUGGAGUAUGAAGCUUUCAGAACCAGUAAAAUGGCUAACUCAUACAAGGCAUCUGUGCUAAAGAAGGUAGCAGAGAUCAACAAAGCAUCAAAAGAAGGAGAGUUGUUCUCAGUCUUUGGGUCAGGAACUGGAGGCAGCAGCAGCUCAGAAACAAAAUCUGAGUCUCCAGCAGAAGAGGAUUUCCUCCCUGCAUCCCAAGUUUACUCAUUCAAACCCAAGCGUGUGGGAGCUGGCUUUCCAAAGAAGUCCGGCUUGUUCCAAACAGCUUCAGAACUGCUGAAGAUCCAGGAAGAUAGCGAUACAAAACCUGUCAAAAAAGAAGAUUGUCCAAAUAAACAUGACAACAACAACUGCAAUCUGGAACUGGACACAAAACCCACUGUUCUCCAGAAAAAAAAACAAGCAACCAAAGCAGUGUGUGAGAGUGCUGAGGUGGUAGUAGUCCUUCCUGAGAAGAAGGAGCAGCAAAGCAGUCCAGACACAAAAGCUGCCCUUGGGGAUAGCCCUGUUAAGAGGACUAAACUCAGCAAAAAGCAGCAAAUGCUGGCAGAAGCGGCCAAAAAAGAGUCACAGGAUAUUUCCAAGUUCUUCUCCCUUUCCAAAGGUGGAUCUAAAGCCAAAAGUUGCAGCUCAACAGAGGAAGUCAGCUGUACUGCAAGCAUACUACCUCAGGUUUCUUCUCAAAGCAUAUGUCAAGAGAAAUCAAUACCUCAGGAAAACAAAGAUGCCUCUGGGGAUGUGACAGGACAGUCCCAUGAGGAGAAUGAGGAGCUGGGAGAGAUGGAAGGAGCACAGACUGAGAGGGAGGAGGUCUGUAAGACCCAGCAGGCUGCUGAAACUAAACCCCUUCAGGAAGAACUUGAUGUAUUAAGUGUUGCUGAAGGUGUCACAGAAAAUGAACAUGCUGUUGUUGGGGAAGGUCAGAGUGGGAAGCGACAAGGAUCAGAUGAGGAUACAGAAAAUCCUACAACAAAGCGGAUGCGAACAGCAGCAAAAUCUUCCAUUCUGACCCAGCCAGAAAGCAAAAGUGCAGGUCUGACAAAGAAGAAGGUGACUUUUGAUCCAAACUUAUUGCAGAGUGAUAAAGAAGGAGCCAGCAAGACCAUACAGCCUGUGACCAAAAGCAUGUCCCUCAAAGAAAUAGCAGACAUCGUUGUUAAAUAUUUGACCCCAUUCUACAAGGGUGGCAAAUUUGCUUCCAAGGACCUGUUUAAGGGCUUUGCUCGGCACCUGUCUCACUUACUGACUGAAGAUCAGAACCCUGCUCGCAAGACUGUGAAGGAAGAAGCACAGAGGCUCAUUAAGGAGUUUUUCAAAACACGAGUCAGAUGUGAGAGUGAAACAGACUGGCAGGAGCUGCACUGCUCAGAGGGGUGAUCCUUGCAUCGUGCUGGCUCUCUUCCUUCUUCCAGCAAUGGGACCAGGGGAUGUUGAGGAACUUAGCCAUGGAGCGUGUCAAGAAAAUGCAGAAAGCAACAAACAGACAUGCAGCCUGAAUAUCAAUUAAAGCACAACUCAUACAGGACUAGAAGAGUCUUCCGUAGACUUUUACCACGAGGUGGGAUUUGUGCUAUGAUCAUCAUGCUUGGAAGCUUGUGCCAGUCUGCAGAGGAAGGCUGUCAAGGAGUUCUGUAUUAUGGACCAUUCCAGACUGCAGAGAUCUUUGCCAGCCCCACAGAGCAGCUUCCAUCACUAUGAGUGGACUAUUCAGGCAGAUCUCAUAUGUCUCCUCACCUAUGAACUGGAUUUUUGCAUCCACUGGCCGGAGUGGCUGCAUGGUUCUCAGCAGCCUGUCAAGGUGGUUCUGCAGAGUCUCAGUGCUGAUUACGGACUGCAAGGGCUUGGGUAUGUAUUCCUUCAGCUCUUCCCUGUGCCAAAAAGCAGAGAGGAUGAAACAUCAUAUUUCCACAGAGAAGAAAGCUGUGCCUAAAAUCCCUCCUUCCCGGAGACAACAGGAGCUCUUCAUGCAAGAACUGAAGCGUGGAAGUAGAGUUAUAGAGCGUUUCUUUCACAGGGUGUUUUAUGAAAAACAUUUCACUGUCUUGAUCCUCUGCUGCAGACACUACACAGAGUUGCCCACACCCAGCAGUUUCACUGUUACUCCUGCUGCUGGAGCUGUAAGGGGGUUUGAUGGAGGUAUUACCUCCAUUACCUCCAUCUCAGUUACAAGGACAGCUGUGAGCUCAUACACUUUCUUCUUGGUACCUAAGGAAAUGUAUGUGGCACCCUCAUGGCCCUGAGCACAGGAGAAGUCACAAAAGGAACUGAGUCAGAGAUGGUCACCAUCAGGAGCGUGAUUGGGAAGUAAUCUUUCUUGGUUACAGGCAGAAGUCAGUCACUGAUGUUAAUUAAUGGCUUAUCUUCUCCAGGACUGUCCAUUCCUUCAUUAUCUAGAUAAUACUUUCAGUCAUCUCCCUGAGAUAAGCAUACCUGGAGGGAGCAGAGCUCUCCUGCUCUGUUUUGGCCCAAUGCUGAAGCAUAGCCAAAACACCCAGCUGCAUCUCCAUUUCUUUACUGUAGCUCAGCAAUAUCUUCCCUUUCAGGUAGUCCCAUUGUAUCUGAAAGCACCAGAAAGAGGUCCAGGCAGAUCUGGGCAGUGCAAGACUGCAGAGACCCACAUCCUGCCUUGCAGAGAGCUCAUGCUGAUCACUCGAAAGCAAAGGCUUGCAUUUGGGAAAAGCAUGCACAAACCGUGUCUGGAGCAUUACAGCCCAUAGGCUAGUGCUCACUAGCAUCAUUUAUUAGUCAUGCCCAGAAAGAGCAUCCAGAGCCAAUCAGCCAAAGUCCUCCCACUUCUUCUGCUCCCUUGGAACAUCCGCACUGACUCUCACAUUAACUACUCCCACUGUCCUCAUUGCUUACCUGGCCAUAAUGGACAUCAGUAUAGAUUUUGUCCUCAAAGUGCAGAGGUGUCUUCCAGAUAAGCCUGCGUAAACUCACGGUGACCAACAUGUCCUCGAGCAAGUAGUCAUGAAGGUAUUCAUCCAUCCUUAUUGGCCUCACAAUUUUAUCUACAUAUUUAUGCAGAGAAAGAGUCAUCAGUCUUGGUGCUGGGACAGCAGGUUGAGCUCCACAGUCUUACAAGGAGCCAUCCUGCACACCUCUGUGUCACCCUGCCCUUAACAGCUCCCAGCAUCAGCCAUACCAAUGGGGCACAGCCCCUAUGCAGCACACACCGCUUUCAGGAAGGAGCAAGAGCAGGACAUUAUUUGAAACAGUCCCUAUUGGAGAAAAUGCUUUAAGGAAGAAGUGAGGCUUCGUCUGUGUGUACUUGCCAUCUUUAUCACUGGUGCUCCUGAUGGCAAAGAGAGCAAAUUCCUGCAUCUCUUCCUGCUCGCCUGCCCCCAUCUGCUCACAAAUCUCCUGCAAGAGCUCCUUGGCCACCUGAAGUGAGGAAAGAAGCAAGUAAAUACUGCAGCAAGGCAAGUUCAGUUCAACACCAGAAUAGGAGGAGGGCAAGCAGUACAGCUCUGGACAAGGCAUAGAGAAGCAGGCUGGAUACAGGAGCUCCCUGUUGUGGCUCUGAGACCAGACCAAUGGAGAAAUGUAAGGCAGAAAACUCACAGUGAACGUCCUGAUGCGGGUGACGUAUUCCACACCCCCAAACAUCAGCACCUCCAGCCGGCGGGCACUGCGCCCCUUCUGCAAAGGACAGUGAACACAGGAGCCCAUCAACCCCCUGCCCUUCCUCCCUCCCUUCCCAGCAUCCCAACCCCUUGCCCAUCACUACCAGCAGUGCCUCCAUCUCCACGGGGAAAGGAAGGUGACGACGGCCCCCGUACAUGACAUUUUUCCGCAGGUUGCUCUGACAAUUCUUGGCUAUAUCUGUAGGAAAAGAGAAAAAGCUUCGUGGGUUUAGAGCUUAGCAUUGUCUCCUAUAGUUUUGAGUCCUCCUGGCUAUGUUGUAUUUAAUCCAGCACUGAUGCUAGGAAAAGGAUGGGGAAACUGUUUCCCCAUCUGGAUCCUUCCUCCUUUCCUUGACCACAGGGCCUUAGUAAACCCAGGGCAGCCAUUUGUUUCACAGGACACAGACAGUCGUACCAUGAUGGGUGCUGGAUGGGUCACUGCUGGCUUGUUGCAGAAACUUGGUGGCAUAGGGCAUCAGGAUGUUAGAAGGCAGGAAGAACCCAGUGAGCAGGCUUAGGAGCAGCCAUCCCCGCAGUACGCUCUCCCUGUGGGAUAGAAAGAACUGUGGAAUGAGACAAUUCCUGGUCCACCCCAUCUGGAAAUGAACCUCUGCCCUUCUGAACACCAACAGGAGGUGGCAGUGAACAUGAGGUGGUGGCCCUUGGUCAGUGUUCUUAUGGUGAGGGAGGGAUUGAUUCAGCUGUUUGAGUAAGAAAGAAAGGAGAAUGUAAAGGCAGCUGGGGACAACACACCAUGAAGGGACACCCUCCCACCACCCCAUGCAUGCAGCAGAGCACACAGUUCCCCUCCAUCCAUGCAUGAAUGGGAACCAACUGUGCUGCUACUCACUGGUUGGGGUUGAGAGUGACCUGUUUGAUGACCUGGCAGUAAAUUUCAUCAUGCAGACUCUCCUUCUCCUUGCACAGCUGCAUUCAGAGAGGAGAAGACAGCAUUAGAAAGGGGGUGAGAACAUCAGAGAGGUUCCAGCUCAUCUCCAUGCCCUUCCUCUCCCAGCUCUUGAGUAUUGCCAGGAAAUCCCAGGCUCCCAAUACAGCUUAGAGCUCAGGUUCCACAACCUCUGCUCUGCAGUGCUAUAUAGGCCCAAAGAAGAAGGCAGGUUGUACUCUCACCCAGACUGUGAUUUACAAGUGCAGGUAGGUACACACCCUCUUUUUAAUUGGCCUCUGUUUCAGUUCCUUUCCUCACACAGGGCUCUGCAUUAUGGCUUUCCCUGUUCUCCCUUUCAUGAAAGGCCUUGGGCUCUCAUUCCCCCUGCUGCUUCAGCACUUUGCCCAGGGGAAGGUCACAAACCUGAAGGAUUUCGUAGACGCACUGAGCAUCAUCCUGGUUCUUGAGUUUUGGCUGAUCUUUCAUGAACCGCAUCAGAGCUGCAAAGCAAAGGGUAAUACUUGGAUGUAGGCAGCACUGGACAAGUGGUUCAUGAGCCCAGGCAGUGUGGGUUCUUGGACACUUUGCACUCAAGGCAAAGAACAAUUUGUUGGAUGCUUUCAGCAAUGACAGUGAUAGUUAUUAAAGGCAGAAGUGCCCGCUUA